AAAAAAGUGGCUUGACGCCUAUAAUGUGAAACACCAAGUGGUUUGACGCCUGUAAUGUGAAACGACAAUUGGUUCGACGCUUGUAAUAUGAAACGGCAAGUGGUUUGACGUCUGGUAAUGGUAAUUACUAUUGACAAAGGUAAUUACUAUUGACGAAUAUAAUUACUAUUUACAAAGGUAAUUACUAUUGACGAAGGUAAUUACUAUUGACAAAGAUAAUUACUAUUGACGAAGAG
rnacentral:lncRNA from 1 species